AGCAGCACCCUGAGGGGUGUCCUGGAGUCUUAAGGGCUUACUGGGAGCACUGGGAGUUACUGGACGGGGUCUGGGCCUUAGUGGCUAUUGCUACUGAUCCAUACUGGUUUAUACUGGUCCUUACUGGUUUGUACUGGUGCGUACUGGCAGGCGCUGUGCAGCACCAUGACAGGCACCCUGGUUCUUUGAAGGGUUACUGGGAGCACUGGGAGUUACUGGGCGGGAUCUGAGCCUUAGUGGCUAUUGCUACUGGUCCAUACUGGUUUAUACUGGUCCUUACUGGUUUAUACUGGUGCGUACUGGCAGGCACUGUGCAGCACCAUGACAGGCACCCUGGUGCUUUGAAGGGUUACUGGGAGCACUGGGAGUUACUGGGCGGGAUCUGGGCCUUUGUAGCUAUCAAUACCGGACAAUACGGGUCCAUACUGGUUUAUACUGGUUUAUACUGGUUCUUACUGGUUCGUACUGGUCCGUACUGGCAGGCACUCUGCAGCACCCUGAGGGGUGUUCUGGGGGUCUUGAGGGCUUACUGGGAGCACUGGGAGUUACUGUGUGGGAUCUGGGCCUUUGUAGCUAUCAAUACCGGACAAUACAGGUCCAUACUGGUUUAUACUGGUUUAUACUGGUUUAUACUGGUCCUUACUGGUUUGUACUGGCAGGCGCUGUGCAGCACCAUGACAGGCAUCUUGGUGCUUUGAAGGGUUACUGGGAACACUGGGAGCUACUGGGUGGGAUCUGAGCCUUAGUGGCUAUUGCUACUGGUCCAUACUGGUUUAUACUGGUUUAUACUGGUCCUUACUGGUCCUUACUGGUCUGUACUGGCAGGCGCUGUGCAGCACGGUGACCGGGACGCUCUCCACCCGCGCCGUGCUGCAGACCGUGGGGGUCGGGGACAGCGCGGCCACCGCCACCGGGGCCACCCUCACCUGGGUGCUGCGCGAUGGGGUGGGGAUGGUGACGCGCAUCGUCUUCGCCUGGCUCCAGGGGUGAGCACUGGGGGCACUGGGAGGGACUGGGAGCACUGGGAGGGACUGGGAGGGGUCAUUGGGGUUACUGGGAGGGACUGGGAGGGGUCACUGAGGGGACUGGGAGGGACUGGGAGCACUGGGAGGGACUGGGAGGGGUCACUGGGGUUACUGGGAGGGACUGGGAGGGGUUAUUGGGGUUACUGGAAGUUACUGGGAGCACUGGGAGGGAUUAUUGGGAUUACUGGGAGCACUGGGAGUUACUGGGAGGGUUCACUUGGGUUACUGGGAUGUACUGGGAGAGGCUACUGGGAGCACUGGGAGGGGCUACUGGUUGUUACUGGUUAUCACUGGGGCCCUUCUUGGUCCAUACCAGUCCAUACUGGUCCAUACUGGUUUAUAUUGGUCUAUAUUGGUUAUAGGGGGUCUGUACUGGUCUAUACUGGUUUAUACUGGUCCAUGCUGGUCUGUAUUGGGCCAUACUGGUUUAUGCUGGUCCGUAUUGUUUGGUACCGGUCCAUACUGGUUGGCACUGAUCUGUACUGGUCCAUACUGGUUUAUACUGGUCCAUACUGAUAGGUACUGGUUCAUACUGGUUGGUACUGGUCUGUAUGGGUCCAUACUGGUCUAUACUGGCCUGGUUUGUACGGGUCCAUACUGGUUUAUGCUGGUUUAUACUGGGCCAUACUGGUUUAUGGUGGUCCAUACUGGUUUAUACUGGGCCACACUGGUUUAUACUAGGUGGUACCAGUCCAUACUGGUCCAUGCUGGUUUAUGCUGGGCCAUACUGGUUUAUACUGGUCUAUACUGGUUGGUACCAGUCCAUACUGGUCCAUUCUGAUCCAUAUUGGUUGGUACCAGUCCAUGCUGGUCCGUACUGGUUUAUACCGGUCCAUACUGAUUUAUACUGAUCUGUCCUGGUCCAUACUGGUCCAUACUGGUUUAUAUGGGUCCAUACUGGUUGGUACCAGUCCAUACUGGUCCAUACUGGUUGGUACCAGUCCAUACUGGUUUAUACCGGUCCAUACUGCUUGAUACUGAUCUGUACUGGUCCAUACUGGUUUAUACUGGUCCAUACUGGUUGGUACUGAUUUAUACUGGUCCAUACUGGUUUAUACUGGUUUAUACUGGUCCAUACUGGUUAGUACCAGUCCAUACUGGUCCAUACUGGUUGGUACUGAUCUGUACUGGUCCAUACUGGUUUAUACUGGUCCAUACUGGUUGGUACUGAUUUGUACUGGUCCAUACUGGUUUAUACUGGUUUAUACUGGUCCAUACUGGUUAGUACCAGUCCAUACUGGUCCAUACUGGUUGGUACUGAUCUGUACUGGUCCAUACUGGUUUACACUGGUCCAUACUGGUUGGUACUGAUCUAUACUGGUCCAUACUGGUUUAUACUGGUCUGUACUGUU
rnacentral:lncRNA from 1 species